CACGUAGGAGGCGAGCGUUGUCCGGAAUCAUUGGGCGUAAAGAGCGCGCAGGCGGCUUGUCGCGUCGUCUGUGAAAUCCCGCGGCUCAACCGCGGGUCUGCAGUCGAUACGGGCAGGCUAGAGUUCGGUAGGGGAGACUGGAAUUCCUGGUGUAGCGGUGAAAUGCGCAGAUAUCAGGAGGAACACCGGUGGCGAAGGCGGGUCUCUGGGCCGAUACUGACGCUGAGGAGCGAAAGCGUGGGGAGCGAACAGG
rnacentral:rRNA from 1 species